ensembl:lncRNA
UUAUAAACAUAAUGUAAAUGGUUUAAUACUUUUUUUGACUUACCUCCUUGCGCCGGUUUAGGAGGGGAAUUCCCGCUACAUUCUACUGCAGGUGUCCGCGCUCUGCGCUAUCUCUCGCGUGCACAGAGCACCAAAGCUCCAGGACAGCCCGCUUUCAGCGCGCGACGUGACCGGAAUUAUUUCGCGCCUUUAGCGCGGGAUUGGUACGAAAUCCUCCACGGGACAAGAAAGAGAGGAAAACCCUUACAGAAUCACCCACCACAACAGGACCAAGCGGCGUGGUAACGGGCAACAGCAACAGCGGCGCAAAGAGGAAUGGACAUGGGACGAGGUAUUGGACGGUAAGGGUUGCUACACCUGGGAGGAGAUCCUGGCGGGAAAGGAUCGCCUUCCAUGGGAACAGGUGGAGGCAGCUAGGAGAGCAGAGGCAGACGGAGAGAGGAGUCGGCGAUAUGAGGGAACACGGCUGGCAAGGAAGCCCGAGAGGCAGCCCCAAAAAUUUCUUGGAAGGGGGCACACAGGAAGUGUGGCGAAGCCAGGUAGGAGACCUGCGCCAACUUCCUGUGCUUACCGGGGGGCUGGAGAGACCGGACAGGCACCGUGUUAUGCUGUGAAGCGCACGGUGUCCCCAGUGCGGGUGCAUAGCCCGGUGCGGUACAUUCCAGCUCCGCGUAUCGGCCGGGCUAGAGUGAGCAUUGAGCCAAGUGCCAUGAAGCCGGCUCUACGCAUCUGGUCUCCAGUGCGUCUCCUUGGGCCGGCUUACAUGGCACCAGCCUUGCGCACGGUGUCCCCGGUUCGCCUGCAUAGCCCAGUGCGGGCUAUUCCACCUGGCCGCACUGGCAGGGCGACCGGGACCAUUCUACCGGGUAAGGUUGGGCAGGCUCAGUGCUCAAGAGCUCCAGUGCGCCUGCACGGUCCGGUCUAUCCGUCACCAGCUCCACACACCAGCCCUCCGGUGGCAGCCCCCCGCACCAGGCUGUCUCUCCGGCUCAUCCUUACAGGGGCUCCCGCCUGUCCAGCGCUGCCGGAGCCUUCCUCCUCUCCAGCGCUACCAGAGCUCCCGCCCGUCAUUCCAGAGGCGCUAGAGCCCCUCAUUCCAGAGGCGCCAGAGCUACUCAGUCCAGCGCUGCCAGAGCCUUCCUCUCCAGCGUUGCCGGAGCUUCCCGUCUGCCCAGCGCCAUCUGAGCUACCCGUCUGCCCAGUGCCGCCUGAGCCACCCGUCUGCCCAGCGCCACCUGAGCCACCCGUCUGCCCAGCGCCGCCAGUGCCGCCAGUCUGCCCAGCACCGCCAGUGCCGCCAGUCUGCCAAGGGCCGCCAGUGCCGCCAGUCAGCCAAGGGCCGCCAGUGCCGCCAGUCAGCCAGGGGCCGCCAGUCAGCCAGGGGCCGCCAGUGCCGCCAGUCAGCCAGGGGCCGCCAGUGCCGCCAGUCAGCCAGGGGCCGCCAGUGCCGCCAGUCAGCCAGGGGCCGCCUGUGCCGCCAGUCAGCCAGGGGCCGCCAGUGCCGCCAGGGCCGCCAGUGCCCGCCAGCCAG